rnacentral:tRNA from 1 species
GCUUUCGUGGUGUAGUGGUCAGCACACUGAGCCGGUAUUUCAGAGGUCCGCGGUUCGAUUCCCGGCGAAAGCG